rnacentral:tRNA from 1 species
GGGAGCGGCGGCUCCCGGAACCGGCGCCCGGCGCCUGUUGCGUGCCGGGUGGCCGCAUUCCGGCAGGAGUGGGGCGGGUUCCGGGAGCGGCGGCUCCCC